GACAGAGGAUGCAAGCGUUAUCCGGAAUGAUUGGGCGUAAAGCGUCUGUAGGUGGCUUUUUAAGUCCGCCGUCAAAUCCCAGGGCUCAACCGCCUGGACAGGCGGUGGAAACUACCAAGCUGGAGUACGGUAGGGGCAGAGGGAAUUUCCGGUGGAGCGUGAAAUGCGUAGAGAUCGGAAAGAACACCAGCGGCGAAAGCACUCUGCUGGGCCGACACUGACACUGAGAGACGAAAGCUAGGGGAGCGAAUGGG
rnacentral:rRNA from 1 species